ensembl:misc_RNA Metazoa_SRP Metazoan signal recognition particle RNA
GCCGGGCAUGGUGGCGCGUGCCUGUAAUCCCAGCUACUUGGGAGGCUGAGACAGGAGAAUCGUUUGAACCCAGGAGGCGGAGGUUGCAGUGAGCCGAGAAUGCGCCAUUGCACUCCAGCCUGGGUAACAAGAGCGAAACUCCGUCUCCC